rnacentral:rRNA from 1 species
CAUGUAGGCGGAUUAAUAAGUUUGAAGUGAAAUCCUAUAGCUUAACUAUAGAACUGCUUUGAAAACUGUUAAUCUAGAAUGUGGGAGAGGUAGAUGGAAUUUCUGGUGUAGGGGUAAAAUCCGUAGAGAUCAGAAGGAAUAACCGAUUGCGAAGGCGAUCUACUGGAACAUUAUUGACGCUGAGAUGCGAAAGCGUGGGGAGCAAACA